UGUUUUCCUAUUUUUGAUGUAGAUACUUGAAAGAGGGGUGAAUGAGAAAGGCUGUGUUGCCAAUGAUGUUGAAACGGAACAGAUAGUGUUUGAAGAUGUUCCAGAUGGAUCUUCUGUUGAAGUUAGUUCCAUGUUCAAAACCGAGGUUCAAUACCCCUGUUCUUGUCGCAGGAAACCUCAUGAUUGAAAGUGAAGCCUGAUAUAAUUUUGUCAAUUAAAGACCAGAAUUAAGAAACCACCAAGCUCCACUUUCAGAAUCUUUACAACAGAUAUGGGAAUCCCGUUAUUAUAUUGAAUUUAGUUAAGGUUUAGAGCAGUAGGUUUACUAAUGGACCGCCUCUGGAUGUUGUAAUUGUUUGAUGUUUGAAG